AACAAAAAAACUAACAAAAAUUAAACUAUGAUAUCACUUGAAAGCUUUUUAGACAAUAUUAAUAAAAUAUUUUAGCGAUAAUUAGACAAAUUUGAUUUUUUUUGCCAGCCAAAAUUUUAUUAUUAAUUAUCAUCAAUUAUUUCAAGAUGUUUAAGAAAGGAUGGACAAAAAAAAUAGGAUGGACAUAAAUGAUAUAUGAACUAUGAAUAGUACUUUGUAAAGCUGACUUAGAUAACACAUCUGCACAUCCAUUUCCAGUCCUUUUUGAUGCCUAAAUUCAAUUACUUUAGAGUAGUUAUUCCACAAAGAGAUCGUAUGAGAUAUUGUUUUGAUAUUCAGAUUUGUUUCUUAACUUUUAAGAAGAUUGAUAACUGUAAAAUGUUUUAGAGCCCGAAAUUACCACGUCAUCUCAUUUAUUUUUUCGUAAAAAAUGAAAAACAAUGCAAAGGAAAGAAUCGAACCCGGGUUAUUAUGACAUUAAUAUAGGACAGUUACCACUAAGCCAUUGAAACUUUCUUGAACACAUAUACAAGAAUCACUAAGUAUGUAAUCACAAACUCUUAUGUACAAUUACAAUAAUAUGAAUUCAACUUUCAAGACUCCGAUACUUUGUUUUGUAAAAAAAAUAAGUAAGUGACUAAGCUAAUAUAUUUUUUGAAAGUGUGAGAACAUUGAAGAAUAUGAAAAAGCAUAGAUUUUUGUUUUCGUGACAAAGUUAAGAAUUUUGUAAAACUAAGUUUAACAUAUAAAUUUUCGUGACAAAUAUGAAAAAACAUAGAUUUUUGUACAAUUUUGACAAAACAACUCAAAACAUAGUUCUCUAAUGUCUUAAUAAAAUAUUAU
rnacentral:lncRNA from 1 species